rnacentral:rRNA from 1 species
AACGGCGAGUGAAGCGGCAAAAGCUCAAAUUUGAAAUCUAGCACCUUCGGUGUUCGAGUUGUAAUUUGAAGAUGGUAACCUUGGGUUUGGCUCUUGUCUAUGUUCCUUGGAACAGGACGUCAUAGAGGGUGAGAAUCCCGUCUGAUGAGAUGCCCAUUCCUAUGUAAGGUGCUAUCGAAGAGUCGAGUUGUUUGGGAAUGCAGCUCUAAGUGGGUGGUAAAUUCCAUCUAAAGCUAAAUAUUGGCGAGAGACCGAUAGCGAACAAGUACAGUGAUGGAAAGAUGAAAAGAACUUUGAAAAGAGAGUGAAAAAGUACGUGAAAUUGUUGAAAGGGAAGGGCAUUAGAUCAGACUUGGUGUUUUACGAUUAUCUUCUCUUCUUGAGUUGUGCACUCGUAUUUCACUGGGCCAGCAUCGAUUCGGAUGGCAAGAUAAUGGCAGUUGAAUGUGGCUUCACUUCGGUGGAGUGUUAUAGCUUCUGCUGAUAUGGCCUGUCUGGAUCGAGGGCUGCGUCUUUUGACUAGGAUGCUGGCGUAAUGAUCUAAUGCCGCCC